GACGAACGCUGGCGGCGUGCCUAACACAUGCAAGUCGAACGAUGAACCCGGAGCUUGCUCCGGCGGAUUAGUGGCGAACGGGUGAGUAACACGUGAGUAACCUGCCCUUGACUCUGGGAUAACUGCGGGAAACUGUAGCUAAUACCGGAUACGACCCUCGGCGGCAUCGCCAGGGGGUGGAAAGAAUUUGGGUAAAGGAUGGACUCACGGCCUAUCAGCGAGUUGGUGGGGUAACGGCUCACCAAGGCGACGACGGGUAGCCGGCCUGAGAGGGUGACCGGCCACACUGGGACUGAGACACGGCCCAGACUCCUACGGGAGGCAGCAGUGGGGAAUAUUGCACAAUGGGCGCAAGCCUGAUGCAGCAACGCCGCGUGAGGGAUGACGGCCUUCGGGUUGUAAACCUCUUUUAGUAGGGAAGAGGCGAAAGUGACGGUACCUGCAGAAAAAGCACCGGCUAACUACGUGCCAGCAGCCGCCGCCG
rnacentral:rRNA from 1 species